UAGGGGUUGAUCCUGGCUCAGAUUGAACGCUGGCGGCAGGCUUAACACAUGCAAGUCGAGCGGGGGAAGGUAGCUUGCUACCGGACCUAGCGGCGGACGGGUGAGUAAUGCUUAGGAAUCUGCCUAUUAGUGGGGGACAACAUCUCGAAAGGGAUGCUAAUACCGCAUACGUCCUACGGGAGAAAGCAGGGGAUCUUCGGACCUUGCGCUAAUAGAUGAGCCUAAGUCGGAUUAGCUAGUUGGUGGGGUAAAGGCCUACCAAGGCGACGAUCUGUAGCGGGUCUGAGAGGAUGAUCCGCCACACUGGGACUGAGACACGGCCCAGACUCCUACGGGAGGCAGCAGUGGGGAAUAUUGGACAAUGGGGGGAACCCUGAUCCAGCCAUGCCGCGUGUGUGAAGAAGGCCUUAUGGUUGUAAAGCACUUUAAGCGAGGAGGAGGCUACUUUAGUUAAUACCUAGAGAUAGUGGACGUUACUCGCAGAAUAAGCACCGGCUAACUCUGUGCCAGCAGCCGCGGUAAUACAGAGGGUGCGAGCGUUAAUCGGAUUUACUGGGCGUAAAGCGUGCGUAGGCGGCUUAUUAAGUCGGAUGUGAAAUCCCCGAGCUUAACUUGGGAAUUGCAU
rnacentral:rRNA from 1 species